GUUGAGCCAGUUGAAUGUAGUGGUCAGUGGUAGUGGUGUAAUACGAGUACUUUGCAAGUGCCGUGUCCUUAUAUGUAAUAUUUUUACAUUGAAUUUUAGUAUUUUACAUAAUAUCGGAUCUCCGUGGAUAAAAAAACCUCAGGAAAUUGUGGAAUAAUAUUGCCAAACAUUGGUAAAUUAGAACAUCUGGUUCAACAGCUAUUAUCAAGGUCGUAGAGUAUAAAGGAAAUUGUGGAAUAAUAUUGCCAAACAUUGGAAACAGUACGAGAGCAAGCAUUUCAUAUCUUAUUGUUAACAGACCUCGCAUAUUUUAUUUUAUAAGUUCUCUCAAAGAGGUGGAUGGACGGUUCGUUUUAUGAACAUAUACCUAUAAAAUAUGUUAGAUAUUUGCAUAUAUUGCUAAUUGAAAAAACUAUCAUUUACUUACAUUUAAAUUAAAAUUUUAGAAUAUACAAUCUCUAAUUAUUAUAGGCUUAAUUCUACAAAAAAUGUAUGUAUUUUUAACUUCAAAAUCUUUGUAACUAAAUUUUGAAUUAGAAUUUUAUUAAAGUAAAAUUCACUUGAAAAUAAUAUCAAAGUAUUAAUUGUGUACAUGUUAAUUUUUCUUUUAACCACGUUGCGAUUUACCACCAGCCAUUCACUGCAGUGCUU